GUGAUUAAAUCGAGCGUGUCUUCAUUGACCGCUUCACCCUUCUCACCAUCCACAUACACCUGUGCACUGUUUAGCCUGAGCCGGUUUUCCGGUCCAGGUUAUCAUUUCAUACAAACUCUAGUCUUAUGAAUGUAAACGUUUAAUAACAUAAUA
rnacentral:misc_RNA from 1 species